AAGCAGGUUCCAGGCUGAGCUGUCAGCACAGAGCCUGGUGUGGGGCUCAAACUCAUGAGCUGUGAGAGCAUGACCUGAGCUGAAGUCGGAUGCCCAACCGACUGAGCCACCCAGGCACCCCCAACUUGGUUUAUUUCUUGUCCAAAAAGCCCAACACCCCCCUUGCCCCAAGAACAGAUGAGAAACAGCUUGGCAAUCACACAUCUGGGGGCUGGAUUUCUGAUUUUGUUGGUCUUUUUGGAGAAGGACAAUGGCAGAAGCCAGGGCAUGUACUUCACUGAGGUAAUCGUCCAAACAGCUUGCAGAACGUUAUAAAUGUACCAAUGGGAGAGAAAGGGAAGCGGGGUGGGGGUGAAAGAGAGCCAUGUUCACCAAGGCAACUGAGUUCAUCCAUAUGUUGACUCAGGAAUUGCAGGAAAUUCUAGUUUUUGAGGUUUCUUCCUAUCAGAAUAUUUCCUACAUCUUCCUGGAGAGUAGGCCUAAAUCCAGAAGCUGUAUAGUAUCACUACCUUUGCCUAGAAAUCUCAACCCCGCAUCUCUACAUACCUCUUCCUUCCUUUUCUCCAAAGAAGAGACUAUGGUAUUCUUCCUUCUCUUAAAGGAGUUGUUUUUUUUUUUUUUUUUUUAACUGAUCCUUUAGAGGAGUUUAGUAAAAACUCCUAAUAGUAAAAACACUGGAAUGGGAGUCAGGAACCCAAUGUUCUCAUUUACUGAAUGACCUUGGGCAAGUCCUUUACCCUUUCUGGGCCUUAGGUUCCUCAUAUGUAAAGUGGGGGGAAGGGGGAGGGGUAGUGUUGGUGUUAGUGUGGUGAAUAUUCUGUGGCCUAGCUCACGCUGUCUCCAUCCUACUCUUUUCCUAAUUAUAGAGGUUAAAAAGCUAAAAACCAAAUUUCCCAGAAUCCCUUGUGGAUGGGUUUAGAUAUAGUUCAGGUUCUCCUAAUUAGGAGCAAACUCGAGGUUAGAUCAAAGUAUGGCAGAGACCAUAUUUCCGUCUCCUUCACUUGUUUCUGCAGCAGCAUUUUGGCUUCCUCUUCCAGUAAACUGGAUGCUGGUUCUGGCGGCAGCAGCUGCUCCUUCUUGACUCCAGCUCACUGAUCCCUGGAUAGCAGACUUAGGGCAUUUAAUCUGAUAGUGGCUCAAAGGUAGGAAUUUCCUUCUGGAGGACAAGCCUAGAGCAUGCUUCCUCAACCUUCCUAGCAAGUUUGUAAGCCCAAUUCCCUGCAUUAAAUUCCACUCUAUUAAAUAUACCUAGGCCUAGGGUUCAGUGUAGAAACCACUUGAUCUGACACAGGAUUAUCAGAUGAUCCCAAAAGAGUCGUUAUGAAGGAGAGAGGAGAAUAGAAUUAUUCACAAGGCCUACUCUCUGCUAAGCCAGCAUCUUCUGGGGAAAAUGGGCAAGAUGGAGGAGCAUUAGAGCAUUAAAAUACAUUUGUCCAGAACAAUCUCCUUCACUUCUUCCUUUCUUUAAUUUUUUUUAACAACCUCCCUGCACUUUCUCCCUCCCACUCUAACCCUGGGGUGGGGGUGGGGGUGUUGAACUGCUUACACAGGACAGAAGGUUGAGUCAGCACAUGCUUUCUUUCCAUCUCUAUACUCUCUGCAAGCUAUUACUCUGCUGAGGAUAGCAUUACCUGCCCAACCCCAUAUAAGUAUUCUCUGGAUUUUAGAGGGGGGAGGUUUGGGCUAGAAAGGGCUACAAAGUGUCUUUGGCAGCAGCAGGAAAUGCUUUUAAGCGCCAGGUAAAAAAAAAAAAGAACCAGUCCCGACAACCCUGUGCAGCUGAGGAGUGAAGACAAGUUUGGCUGCAAAAGAUCCCAGCUCAUCUUCUUAUAGCAAUCUCUGGUCUAAGCAAUGAGCCACCAGCUUCCUGUAGCAAGACUGGGGACCAACUGAAGAACAAGGUCAAAUCCAACAGGAGGAUUGGUAUUGCCUAUAGCUCCUUUCCUGGCCUCACUCCUACCGUCUUAAGAUGUGGAUGCUACAGAAACAACGUAGUUCCCUCCCAUUUCUUCUUUCUAGAUCACUGUAACCCAAGCUCCCAGCAGUCUGACAGUAGUAAAACAUGAGUGCUAAUAGCUAUAGUGUUAUUAAGUAAAGUCUUAAAAGGGGCUUGAAAACCCAGGUGAUUAAAAAAAAAUCUGUACAUAACUUAACAGACAUUAAAAAUCCUAAUCCUAUUCUCCACCUCAUUCCCAGCAUCCAUAACCUCCAUUCCUACCUAAUGAGAAGAAACAAGUAUGAUCCAGCCCUUCAACACUGGCCUCUAAGAUUCUCCAGUCAAGGGUACAGUGCCCUUUGUGAGCUAACCCAACAUGACUACAAAUGAAUGUUCGCUAUUUCCUAAAAUCAAAUCCACCUUCAACAAAUGAAAGGACUCGCCACCAUGGAGAAUAUUCUAAGCUAUGUGAUGUCAGCUCUGAUGGCAGUUUCAAAUGAAGGGGUCCGAAAUACUUUGAGCAAUAGCAGAAUGUAAUGGCAGUUGGAAUGAAUGUGCAGUACAGCCUCCCAAAGCAACUGUUUUUAAAAAGACCAAACUCACUUAGAUGUUCAA